rnacentral:lncRNA from 1 species
GGGUCUACAGUCACACAGCCAACUUGUGCUUGUGGCAGUGGCAAGGUUGGUGAGUAUCUGAGUCUUCAGGCCAUGGUGUUUUCCCCUCGAGUGGAGCCUGCCUCAGCCUGUUCCUUUAACAUCAGCUUCUGAAACUAUCUCUGCAGAAGUUCUGAGGGUACCCCUCACUCAAGCUCCAGGCGUCAGGAAAAGAACAUUCCACGAGUCCAUCUAGAAGACGGUCCUUUCCCUGGUGCCGCCGGCUUCUAGAACAUUCCCUGGAACACAGCAAGUGUUCAGUUAUUGUUCAUGGAGUGACAGAUGUCUCAGCCAAGAAGGUACAAUCACAGGGAAGAAUGACUUCAAUUGGUCUUGACUUCAACCUGCUUCCAGCCUGGUUCCCUUCUCCCACCUCCCUACAGCCCACA